CACCUUGAAAUAUUUCUUCCCCCCCCUCUCACCGGGGCCUUUUUUUUGGAGCUUUAACGCGCUGCCAGUCUCGCCCCGGGACCAGGAGCACAUCCAAAUAUUUAGGAUUUACAGCGACACCAGUCCCAGGAGCAGCGGGGAUGAAGGGCCCUACACUAAGGAUGGUUUUUCGGUAAAAAGCCAAAGGGACAGCAGCGAUCCGGCGUGAUUGCAUUACUGGAUUCACUACCAAUUCACAUUUCUAGUUCAGGAAAAGGCAUCUGGAGGAAACGGUCCAAGGUUUUGCAAAGCAAGACAUUGCAAGGCUAAAAACCACUGCAGUAGGCAACAGUGUAGAAUACCAGCUCACGGCACUGUCUCCACCAGCUGUUUUAGAGGACAUCUUUAAUUAAAAGAAAAGUCACCAUAAAAAUCCUGUCCAGCGUGCUCUGAAAACACUUCUGCUUCCAGCUCCAUCCAGCACUUGAGCCAGGCUUAGAGAGCAGCUCUCAGUACACAACCUGUCUUUUAAAACAUUAUAAAGGACCAGGAGCUACCUUCACAGGCUGUGGCAUCACAAUGGGAAUUCUGAAUACUCAUCACAAGUCUGCUCCAACCCUGCUUUAAACACCUGAAAAUUCACUGACCUCUGUCUCAGUGGCUGCUACACUGCGCUCGGGUUGCUGCAUUUCCAGGUUGUGCUGCUGCACUCCACUGGGGCAGUUCUCUAGUGCUGCACAAUGCUUCUAUCACUUAUAUAACAUAAAAAAAAGAGACUCCUUUGACUAAAUAAGCUGUGAUAAAAAUAUAUUUACACUAUGCACAUUUUUACAGGAAAUACAAUUUGCUAAAAUCUCUAAUUAAUAACACCACCACCCUGCAAUUCACUGCAGUCAAAACUAAAGGAUUUGAAUUUUUAAGGUUUUUAUUAGAGAAGUUGAAAGUUUCAUCUCAGGACCGACAAUAACAUAAUUAUCUCUCUUCAUUUAUUUUGUUUAUAGGAAUAUGUAGAAUUUGUUUGUACAAGCAUAUACAACAAAGUAAUUGGUGCUUAGUACAUUGAAAUCAGAAAUCUGAUUUGUUCUAAACUACCAGUUUUCCAUGCAGUCAUCUUUGAAUUGGCAGCAUGGACAAAUUCCAAGCCGAAUGCUUACAUGCAUUGUUUUGCAAUAUAACUACAGCAAGCUCUGGAAACAUGCAAAUUGACACAUUAGCAAAUUGGUUUUAUAUCUAAUGGACAUAAAAAGAUUAUUCCUGAUAUGAAAUUCUGAAAAUCUGCAUAAAUACUUCUGUGUAAAAUUAAAUUAGUUAUGUACUUCUCUUUUACUACAAGUAUCAAGAAUGCCCACGUAAUUAAUAUACACACAUAUAUAUAGAGACCUU